UACGUAGGGGGCGAGCGUUGUCCGGAAUCAUUGGGCGUAAAGCGCGUGUAGGCGGCCCGGUAAGUCCGCUGUGAAAGUCCAGGGCUCAACCCUGGGAUGCCGGUGGAUACUGUCGGGCUCGAGUCCGGAAGAGGCGAGUGGAAUUCCUGGUGUAGCGGUGGAAUGCGCAGAUAUCAGGAGGAACACCGGUGGUGUAGACGGCUUACUGGACCACGACUGACACUGAGGCACGAAAGCGUGGGUAGCAAACAGG
rnacentral:rRNA from 1 species